rfam:Oryza sativa (indica cultivar-group) chromosome 2, whole genome shotgun sequence.
AAUAAGUGUAGUUUUGCACUAUUCACGUUCAACGUUUGACCGUCCGUCUUAUUUGAAAAUUUUGUGAAAAAAUUAAAAACAUUUAGUCACACAUAAAGUACUAUUCAUGUUUUAUCAUCUAAUAGCAAUAAAAAUACUAAUCAUAAAAAAAUUUUAAAUAAGAUAGACGGUCAAACGUUGAACGUAAAUAGUGCAAAACUAUAAUUAUU